AUGGCCUCAAUCACUUGUUCUAAUUGCAGCAAAGUUGGCCAUAGGUACACCAAUUGCCAUGUUGCUUUGAAGCCUGCACUAGCCAUGAGAAAGAACAUGCAUGAGCCAAGCAGCUCUUCUUACCCACCUGAUGCUGCUACUGCUGCCUCAUCUGCUGCACUAGCAAGAAGGGUUGCAUCUACUGCCACUGCACCAGCAAAGAGGACUGCAUCUUCUGCCACUGCACCAGCACCAGCAAAGAGGACUACAUCUUCUGCCACUACACCAGCACCAGCAAAGAGGACUCCAUCUUCUGCCACUGCACCAGCACCAGCAAAGAGGACUACAUCUUCUGCCACUGCGCCAGCACCAACAAAGAGGACUAUCUUCUGCCACUGCACCAGCACUAGCAAAGAGAUCUGCUACUGCUGCUGUAGAGGGUAA
rnacentral:rRNA from 1 species